rnacentral:rRNA from 1 species
AACGAACGCUGGCGGCAUGCCUAACACAUGCAAGUCGAACGAGACCUUCGGGUCUAGUGGCGCAAGGGUGCGUAACGCGUGGGAACCUGCCCUUAGGUUCGGAAUAACUCCCCGAAAGGGGUGCUAAUACCGGAUAAUGUCUUCGGACCAAAGAUUUAUCGCCUUUGGAUGGGCCCGCGUUGGAUUAGCUAGUUGGUAGGGUAAAAGCCUACCAAGGCGACGAUCCAUAGCUGGUCUGGGAGGAUGAUCAGCCACACUGGGACUGAGACAUGGCCCAGACUCCUACGGGAGGCAGCAGUGGGGAAUAUUGGACAAUGGGCGAAAGCCUGAUCCAGCAAUGCCGCGUGAGUGAUGAAGGCCUUAGGGUUGUAAAGCUCUUUUACCCGGGAUGAUAAUGACAGUACCGGGAGAAUAAGCGCCGGCUAACUCCGUG